rnacentral:rRNA from 1 species
GUGUCAGCAGCCGCGGUAAGACGAACCGUGCGAACGUUAUUCGGAAUCACUGGGCUUAAAGCGCGUGUAGGCGGAGCGGAACGUCGGUCGCUGAAAUCCCCCGGCUUAACCGGGGAACGGGCGCCGAAACGACCGUUCUGGAGGAACGUAGGGGGAGCUGGAACUUCCGGUGGAGCGGUGAAAUGCGUUGAGAUCGGAAGGAACGCCCGUGGCGAAAGCGAGCUCCUGGACGUUUUCUGACGCUGAGACGCGAAAGCCAGGGGAGCGAACGGGAUUAGAUACCCCCGUAGUCC